GCAAGCUUUGCAUCACGUGGCCCAGGAGUCAGUGAAAGGUUAAUCAGAUGGAGGAUAAAUUACCAUACGAAGGUUUGUGUUCAAACCAGGACACAGAGCGUGAUUUGAAUCUCACUGCAUUUUGCAAAGCUGCCAUUGUGGGUGCAAGCUCACCCCCAGUCUCAGCAGCUCACGGCAGAACACCAGACUUCUCCUUUCCUGUUGGAGAACUCAGCUAUUGUAAUGGGAUUCUGACCAAAACUGCAACUAAUUAAGAAUCAAUCCAAGACCAUUAGUAAGUGGGACUAAACUAGUCAGUGUUGCAUAUUUCAGAAGAGUUCACUUUAAUGAGAGUUCUUGGACAGGAGAAGAAAAAAACCACAAGCAGAUUAAAGAUAGUACAGAGACCUUCUCCAGUUAAACUAAACAACUAAUGCUGCACAGAAAGAUGCUGAACUUGUAGUCCUCUCUAAUUGAUCUACUUAAUGAUCUUAAGGAAACUCAAAACAAUACUGAAAUCAGGUAUUAACUGUGUGUUUGCAUUCAGUAGCUGUUUACAAACAUUAGCAAUUGUUACAUUUCGCAGUCUCUUCAUCAGAGAAACAUAUGUUAUUUUUUUCAGACAUAUUAACCUUAAAACUGUCAAGCCAUUUUGUCUGGGCUUUGUACUUCCGCGACAUCUGUUUAUCUGCACUGCAUUGCCUGCAGAUGGUAUUUUUAAAUCUGUUAAGGGGUUUAGAUGCCAUGUUUUUGACAGCUGUGGUUUUGUCUCAGCACAGAACAAAACUUUGCUAAAAAUGCAGUGCUGUGAGGGAAUGAUUUCAUUGUCAUUUCAUUCGUUGUAUCAGUUUAUCCCCCUAAUCUCUUCCUAUUGUGAGUGCUCUUAAUGAACUGGUAGCAUGUAAAUGUAAUCGUUUUAUGAGAAAUAGGAAAAGGCAAUAUAUGGCUGAUGGAAUUAUUAGAGUGGGAAUGCUUGCAACUGUAUUGAGAUAGUCUGAUAUUAAAGUACUAAAAUCACUAUACAGUAAAUUGAAAGCACAAACCCAAACAAUUUUGUGGUAAGUCCUAAACCUCACAACGACCUCAGCUCAUGAGAAACUGCAUGGACAAGGUUCUCAGUUUGAGACGAACUGAGCAGAGUGACAAAUCUACUGUGAGCCCAUUCAAGAAAAAAAUUAUAUUCCUGGCAUGUGAACAUGAAUUGGAGACCUCAGUACAACACCUUUAUAAUGGAUCCAUGUUUCAGAUGUUUUGUAGAAGUUAAGAAUUUACACAGGAAUUACCAGGAACCUUCAUUAUUUCAAAACACCAGUUAAUUUGGCUGCAGGGGACAGAACAUGCUAGAACAUCAUUCCAGUAUGCUUGUUUGAAACACACGCAUCUUGGCUAUUUAAAUCUUAGUUUUCUACUUUAUAGUCUAAAUUGUAGUGCUUAACAGAGUGUGCACUCAGUGCAAUAUUCUCUUGCAAUAAAUAUCAAUCAGAACAAUCAUAAAGAGGCCAAUAAAUUUUGGAUUAUUUAUCUUUGUAGGAAAAGUGAGCCCUAACCAGGAGCAGAAGGGUCUCCCUGGGAUUGCCAUUUACCUUAGUCCUUGCUUUGAAUACGUGCACUCUUAAUACAUAGACUGUGUAUAUCUUGGAAGUGCUGGCUUUAGAAGCUGUAUCUUUUCAACCAAGCUUCUUUAGCUUCUGUGGAAAAGAAAAUGUGAUUUAUGUUUGUAAUGCCAGGUGACAGUGAGAACAGCAAUGAAGGAAAAUCGUCUGGGGAGAGAGGAAAAAACUUCUUUAAGGUGUCUGGGAAUACAUCAGGACUGUCUGUUAAACAUUUUUUAUUUUUUAUUUUGAAUCUCACUCAGAUACUGCUUUUUUAGUAACCUCAGAUGUAAGUUGACAUUUAAAGGGGAAAAUGACUGACAGAUCAACAGCUGUGAACUUCAUUAUUAUUAAUAAAAGAAGCAAACAAGUAA